AGGGGAGUAACAGUUGGAAACGACUGCUAAUACCCCAUACUCCUUUUACAUUAAUUGUAAUUGGGAAAUGUUUUUCGCUAAAGGAUGAGACUAUAUGGUAUCAGGUAGUUGGUGGGGUAAGAGCCUACCAAGCCAAUGACGCCUAGCUGGUCUGAGAGGAUGAUCAGCCACACUGGAACUGAGACACGGUCCAG
rnacentral:rRNA from 1 species